UCUGCUGUUACAAAUAAAGUUCAGGAACAUUGGUGACUAAUUUUAGUGUUGCAUCAACCUAACUGACUGUAAGUCUUCUGUCUUAAACACAGACCAAAUCAGGCCAGGGUGAGUAAAGUUGGAGAUCCCUUAAGCACAUGCUACAGAGUCCCAUGUGCCCGGAACAUCAAAGACUCUCUCAUUGUCUCCUACAGCUUGCCCCAGUAAGCAACCAACUACACGUCCCAUUUCUUUAGGGUGUGAUAACAUCAAGAAUAUAAACAGUAAAAUUGAUGUUCCACAUGAAAGGCAGCCAUUUCAGCCAGGUAGAAGAGCUUUCUCUCAAGAUAACCAUCACAUUUCAUUAUGCAGAAGUAUAUGAAAGGAUAUUACUUCCAGUUUCUCUAGGUUCAAAAGAAAGAGGAGUGAAGAGGAGUAAAACACACAUCUAUUAAAAAGCAAGAAGAUUAAAUAAAUUGAAGCUUUUUAUUUCUCUUUCUCUGCCUAAGGUAAGUCCAACAGUGUUUAAAAACCUAAGUUUGUGUUUUGUUGCAAUGUAAAAUAGGUCUCUUGUAUAGCCUGCUUGUUUUAAUAUCAAAAAAUAGCCGUGUGAAGCCCCAAGCAAGCAGGGAGGGAGGGUGCAGCACAAUCUGCAAAAAGAUGACUAUUUUACAAAUUUAAGCAUCUCACAUACAGGCAUCCAUCAAUAAGACUGUAGUGAUAUCACUGCUCGCUGCAAUGUUGUUAUAAAUAUGUUGCAGUGAGCAUUGCUGCAGGUCUUAAGGCUCUGUAUGACUCUGUUUGGGGAGAAUAAAAUAGGAUUUUACAACAUCUGAUCUCAAUGCAUUUUGAUUCUAGUGACGCAUUUGUGAGCAUGACUGUCAAAGAAGCAAAUAAGCAUGUAGAAGGUGACUUUAUGGCGGCAUCCAUAAAGAAAAUUGAAGUGGGGGAAGUGGCAACGUUUUGGGUAAUUCAGGAAAGUGAGGGAAAUAUAUAGUUUGGAUUCUGAAUUAUUUAUUCAGGCUUUCUAUGUUAAUCCAAUCCAUCUUAGUUGUUACUCAAUUUUACAUUUCCUGUGUAGCUGUAGGCUGUAAUAUGUUCCUUUUAGUGUGAUCCUAGUAGAUUCACAGUCAGUGGGCUGAAUGGGCUUUCCUUGUCUUCUCAUUUGUAUGCAAUGAUAAUUAUGGUUGUAGUAAACAUUUAUUGAACAUUUAUGUGCCAAUCACAGCUCUAAUUACUCUACUGCUCAUUCAUCCUUUAUAAUGGCUCUAUGAGGUAGAUAUUAACAUUUCCAUUUUAUAGAUGAAGAAAACAAGACUCAGACGACUCAAAAAAUUUGCACAACUGCAAGUAGCACAUCUAGAGUUCAAAAUUGCUUGACUAAUUUUAAGGCUCUGCUUUUUAUCUGCUACACUAUGCUGAGAGCUGUGAAAAUGAGGUUUGAUUCAAAGGCAACCUUAGUGUUGUUUUCGGUCCUCAUUCUAUAGCUUAAUUCAUAGCAAGUAGCAUAUAAGAAAAAACUGUGAGGAUGAAACACAACGGCACCGAGUGUGGGAUCUAGUUUUCUGAAAAGCCUCAGAGGAGUCAGGUAUUGCAACUUGCAAAGAUGUGAGGGAUGAGGAUUGCUCAAUGGAAUAUGAAAGGUGGAAGAGACCUGGGCAGAUUAAUUUCUCCACCUUCCUCUCUCUAACAGACUGCCCCAAGAUGUGAUUCUUCUUUGCAGUCUUUCUGGAGAAGUUGUAUGUGACAAGCAAACAUAUCUCCUGAGUGUCCUGUUGGUCUCGUGGCAGCUUGUUGUAAAGUGGAGAAACAUCAUUUCACAUCACUUUUUCUUUGCCUCACUUCUCUCUCUCUUUUUUUUUUUUUUUUUUUUUUUUUUUUUAUCUCACCCUCACUCUUUUGGGCUUACACCUUCCAAAUAAAAGGUAUGCUACCAUAAUGGGGUGCUCGAUGGGGUGCCUCAUGUAAUACUUCUUAAAGUUCUGAGGCUGAAACAGUAAUCAAUAUAUGCAUAGGCCUUGUGUGCCAGACCCAUUGUGUCAGACACAUUAACUCACUUACUCCUGGCAAAAAACUUAAUGAAAUACUAUCAUUAUUAUCAUUCCCAUUUUACAGAUAAGGAAAUUAAAGUACAGAGAUGUUAAGUCCUUCUGUGGAAUCCAGCAUAAAAAGAGGAUUUUGUACAUGGUGACUGCACAUGGACACGUGAAUGAAUGAAUGAAUGAAUGCAAGCUUGCUCAAUGGAAUAAAAUGGUCGGGAAAAUUUCAACUUCUAACAUUCACUGGACGCUAUCACUUACAUUUUUCCAUUUUCUGAAGAAAAAUCAAUCCAGCAUCUAGCAAAAUACAUUGCACAGAUUAGAUAAUCAACAUUUACUUGUUAAAAUAAUGCAUACAAUAUUUUCUAAGCUCCAUUUUUGGGGGUGAGACAACAGAUACAAAAUAUUUUUCUAAAUAUUAAUGGUUGCACAGACAUACAAGGGAUUGAAUAACAUGGCUCAAGGAGCUCAGACUAUGAGGGAAGAUACUAACUUGAAAGAUACUUUGCUACACCUUUGCUUUGUUUACCUGAAAUAGAGCUUAGCUGCUGAAAUUCAAAGUUCCUUAGGAUUAUAACACCAACAACGAAUAAAACAAAUAAAAGAUACUGCUAUGAAAAUCAAUGUGGUAUCCAGAAAAAUAAAUAGCCAAGAAAUGAA